rnacentral:rRNA from 1 species
AGUGAACGCUGGCGGUAGGCCUAACACAUGCAAGUCGAACGGCAGCACAGUAAGAGCUUGCUCUUACGGGUGGCGAGUGGCGGACGGGUGAGGAAUACAUCGGAAUCUACUUUUUCGUGGGGGAUAACGUAGGGAAACUUACGCUAAUACCGCAUACGACCUACGGUUGAAAGCAGGGGAUCUUCGGACCUUGCGCGAUUGAAUGAGCCGAUGUCGGAUUAGCUAGUUGGCGGGGUAAAGGCCCACCAAGGCGACGAUCCGUAGCUGGUCUGAGAGGAUGAUCAGCCACACUGGAACUGAGACACGGUCCAGACUCCUAAGGGAGGCAGCAGUGGGGAAUAUUGGACAAUGGGCGCAAGCCUGAUCCAGCCAUACCGCGUGGGUGAAGAAGGCCUUCGGGUUGUAAAGACCUUUUGUUGGGAAAGAAAAGCAGCAGGUUAAUACCCCGCUGUUCUGACGGUACCCAAAGAAUAAGCACCGGCUAACUUCGUG